ACAAUGGACGGUACAACGAGUCGCAAACUCGCGAGAGUAAGCUAAUCUCUUAAAGCCGUUCUCAGUUCGGACUGUAGGCUGCAACUCGCCUACACGAAGUCGGAAUCGCUAGUGAUCGCGGAUCAGAAUGUCGCGGUGAAUACGUUCCCGGGUCUUGUACACACCGCCCGUCACACCAUGGGAGUCAGUAACGCCCGAAGCCGGUGACCCAACCAAACGGAGGGAGCCGUCGAAGGUGGGACCGAUAACUGGGGUGAAGUCGUAACAAGGUACC
rnacentral:rRNA from 1 species